GAAAUGCGAUAAGUAAUGUGAAUUGCAGAAUUCAGUGAAUCAUCGAAUCUUUGAACGCACAUUGCGCCCGCCAGCACUCUGGCGGGCAUGCCUGUUCGAGCGUCAUUUCAACCCUCAGAACCCCUUGCGGGAUCUGGCGUUGGGGAUUGGCAUCCAGCCAGCCCCGAAAUCUAGUGGCGGUCCCUCCGCGACCUCCCCUGUGCAGUAGCGAUACCUCGCAGCGGGACAGCGGUCUGACCACGCCGUAAAACCCCCAACUUCCCAAGGUUGACCUCGAAUCAGGUAGUAAUACCCGCUGAACUUAAGC
rnacentral:misc_RNA from 1 species